rnacentral:lncRNA from 1 species
GUGAGGUGCGGCGCAGGGUCUGUGAGGUGUGGCACGGCGUCUGUGAGGUGUGGCGCGGCGUCUGUGACGUAGGGCGCAGGGUCUGUGAGGUGCGGCGCAGGGUCUGUGAGGUGUGGCACGGCGUCUGUGAGGUGUGGCGCGGCGUCUGUGAGGUGUGGCGCGGCGUCUGUGAGGUGGGGCGCAGGGUCUGUGAGGUGUGGCACGGCGUCUGUGAGGUGUGGCGCGGCGUCUGUGAUGUAGGGCGCAGGGUCUGUGAGGUGCGGCGCAGGGUCUGAGGUGUGGCGCGGCGUCUGUGAGGUGCGGCGCGGCGUCUGUGAGGGGCGCGGCGUCUGUGAUGGGCGCAGGGUCUGUGAGGUGCAAAGGCCAUUUAGUGUGUGGCCUUAGUUAAUUUUUUGUUUUCAAUUUUCUGUCUCUCAUGUUAUUGAUCUGUAAAAGGAGCAUAAUCGUAAGUGUCUCUUCUUAUUAGGUUACUUGUGAGGCGUAAGUGAAGUACUAUGUGUUAACUAGUAUCAUGAAACUACAGCCUCACUCUCCGGAGGAAAUAGUGUAAUGAUAGCGCCGUUUACAGGGUGCACCGUAACAGGAGGCAAAAACAGAGGUGGAUACGUGCAGAGAAGUCUUUAGGUGGUCUUGACACUAGAGCUGAAUUUGAAGGAAGUUGAGAACUUGUUAGAUGAAGGGACCUGAGAACAGGAACAAGUGUUCACCAAGACCGGUCUGUGUGAACACACAGAGGCGGAAAUCAUGCCAAAACUUGCAGAGUGGCAGGAAACUCCAUUCAGCUGGAGAAAGCAUACAUAUGGAGGGAGUGAAAGGAGAUAACAGUGGAGAGGUCUGGGCAAAUUUAGGCUGACUUCAAGAAGGCAGGAGUUUCCUGUGAAGAAAAUUGACUGAUACAGAUUUGUGUUUUAGAAAAGUCAGUCUGUCAGCAGCUGGGAAGGUGAAGGGGAGGUGUCACACCAGAUGUAAUAAAAUUGGUUAGUGGGAUUUAGCCAUUGUUUUAAAGAGUGGUGAAGGUAAGGGGAGUGUGGAGAGAGAGAACUUUUUGGAAGUUGGUUAUAUUGAUGGGACAUGUGGAUGUGACUAUGAAGAGACGGAAUCAAAAAUGGGCCAGAAGUCCUAAAUCUGAGCAACCUGUGGCAUGUGCACAUAAAUAUGACCCGGGGACAUGUGGGUGUGAGAGUCUUUAUUUCAGCAAAAUAUACUAAGCUAGAGGUAUAGAUUUUGGAAUCUUCAACAAUUAAUUGGCCAUUGUGGCCAAGUGAAAACAUUAGGAGUCUAAAGAUAGAGCUGUGGCCAACACUCAUAUUUAAAGAAAGGCUUGAGAAGCCCAGUGAUGCAAGAAGUGUCAAGAAAAUAUCACUAUAAAAAUGUUUGAGAAGCAUGGUACUAGUCAUCAGUGUUAAAUGUGCUUCUGGUGAGGGGUUCAGGAAGUUUCCAAUCAUGACGGAAGGUGAAGAAGAGUAGGCAUCACAUAGCAAGAGGGGAUGCAAGACACAGGGAGAGAGAGAAGAGGGAGGCACCAGGAUGCUUUCAGCAAUCAAUGUCAGGAAAACUGAUAGAGCAAGAAGUCACUCAUUGUCACAAGGACGGCACCAAGCCCUUUCUGAGGAAUCUGCCCCAUGACCCAAACACCUCCCACCAGGCCCUACCACCAACACAGGGGAUCACAGUUCAAUGUGCGAUUUGGAGGCAAAACAUAUACAAACUAUACUAGGAAGACAAACUGAUGUGAGGAUGAGGAGGAGUCAGAAAUAAACUCAUUCAACUAAUACUUGAGUAGCUACUGUUGCCUACAGUAUGUUCAAGGUUUUGCUAGUCAUCCAUAUGAUCACUAUUGACAGCUUGGGAGACUCACACAGGCUAGUGAAUUUCAGGAAUUAACAGAAACUGAACAGCUUCUAUAAUCCUGCAGGAAGUAACCUCUGGAUGGCACAAUGGAGUCUCACUCUGUUGCCCAGGCUGGAGUGCAAUGGCACAAUCUCAGCUCACCACAAGCUCCGCCUCCUGCGUUCAAGUGAUUCUCCUGCCUUAGCCUUCUGAGUAGCUGGUAUUACAGGUGCCUGCUACCAUGGCCAGCUAAGUUUUGUAUUUUUAGUAGAGACAGGGUUUCACCAUGUUGGCCAGGCUGUUCUCAAACUCCUGACCUCAAGUGAUCUGCCCGCCUAAGCCUCCCAAAGUGCUGGGAUUACAAGCAUGAGCCGCCGCACCCGGCCUCUGCUAAGUUUACAACCUGCAAAUUCUAUCCAAAAUAUAUACAUAUUUUCUUGUAUUUUUCAUUUAAUGCACCAAAAUAAAAAAAAAAUUGUUUUUCAUUUUCUGCUGGUUAUUACUUAGAGGCUAGAUUUAUUUUGUAAACUAUGCCCUAAAUUGUUCCUUUGACUAUUUUUAAGUUUAUCUACCUACUCUGAAGUGUGGAAGGUGAGAGUAAUGAAUUGGCCCAGGUGAAAUCUAAUCAUAGAUAAUAAAGCUGCUGCUAAUAAAAAUGCUCAAGUAACCCUCAAGCUAAGUAAGACUCUGCCCCCAGCAAAAAUAGAACUUUAAAACAUGCUAUGCUACCAUUAAUAGGAAAAAAAAAUGUAAAUUCAUUCAAAAAGUUUAGUAAAGGAAACUUUAAAUAUUUUCUGAAGAACUCAAAAGGAAUAGAAGCAAAUUGUAUAAUCAAAAUUCAGGAUAUGACUAUUUAAGAAGUAAUCAACUGAGCUUGCAAAACAUGUAUUGUAGUUUAGAGAUUUUUGCAGUUUUUGCACUUUCCUACAUUUCUUAAAAUAAAUAUAUAAACAAAUAAAUGUACAAUUUCAAAUUGUGAUUGUUAGUAUGAAUAUUUUAAAAGAUGAAAAAAGAGCUUAAGGAAGUGUGAUCUUCCCAUGAUGGCCUUUGCUGGCCACCCAAACUAAGAUUUAAUUCUCUCAAUCUCAC